GAGAAGAAGGGGGUUGUGCACAAUGGGCGCAAGCCUGAUGCAGCGACGAAAAGAUGAGGGAUGAAGGCCUUCGGGUCGUAAAGCUCUGUCAUGGGGGAUGAACGUCCGGGUGGUUAAGAGCCGCCUGUCCUUGCCAGAACCCCAGGAGGAAGCCCCGGCUAACUACGUG
rnacentral:rRNA from 1 species